GGCGAACGGGUGAGUAACAUAUCGGAACGUAUCCAAUAAUGGGGGAUAACUAAUCGAAAGGUUGGCUAAUACCGCAUACGCCCUACGGGGGAAAGCAGGGGAUCUUCGGACCUUGCGUUAAUGGAGCGGCUGAUAUCUGAUUAGCUAGUUGGUGAGGUAAAGGCUCMCCAAGGCGACGAUCAGUAGCUGGUCUGAGAGGACGACCAGCCACACUGGAACUGAGACACGGUCCAGACUCCUACGGGAGGCAGCAGUGGGGAAUUUUGGACAAUGGGCGCAAGCCUGAUCCAGCCAUUCCGCGUGAGUGAAGAAGGCCUUCGGGUUGUAAAGCUCUUUCGCAAGGGAAGAAAACUUACUUUCUAAUAAAGAGUGAGGUUGACGGUACCUUGAUAAGAAGCACCGGCUAACUACGUGCCAGCAGCCGCGGUAAUACGUAGGGUGCGAGCGUUAAUCGGAAUUACUGGGCGUAAAGCGUGCGCAGGCGGUUUUGUAAGUCAGAUGUGAAAUCCCCGAGCUCAACUUGGGAACUGCGUUUGAAACUACAAGACUAGAAUAUGUCAGAGGGGGGUAGAAUUCCACGUGUAGCAGUGAAAUGCGUAGAGACGUGGGGGAAUACCAAUGGCGAAGGCAGCCCCCUGGGAUAAUAUUGACGCUCAUGCACGAAAGCGUGGGGAGCAAACAGGAUUAGAUACCCUGGUAGUCCACGCCCUAAACGAUGUCUACUAGUUGUUGGUGGAGUAAAAUCCAUGAGUAACGCAGCUAACGCGUGAAGUAGACCGCCUGGGGAGUACGGUCGCAAGAUUAAAACUCAAAUGAAUUGACGGGGGCCCGCACAAGCGGUGGAUUAUGUGGUU
rnacentral:rRNA from 1 species